ACUCGCAUCAGACAUCAGAGAGCUCCAGGCUCAUCUUGGCAGACUUUGUAUUUUUACCCAGCUCCCUACAUCUUUUACUGCUAAGGACUUGCUUUCUGCAGCCUCUUUCCUGCCUGCUCAGAGGAGAUUUUCCAGAAAAGAGCCCACAGCGUUUCUACUGCUCAGCCAUGCUCUUGUUGCUACUCUCAGUACUGGAGAUGAUAUUUGUCCUGAGAGAUGCCAGAGCCCAGCUAGUGACUCAGCCUGACAGCCAUGUCAUUGUCUCUGAAGAAGCCUCAUUGGAGCUGAGGUGCAACUAUUCUUAUGCUGGAGUUCCUUAUCUCUACUGGUAUGUCCAAUACCCCAGCCAAGGCCUCCAGCUUCUUGUCAAGCACCUUUCAGGAAAUAGCUGGGCUCAAGGCAUUAAAGGCUUUGGGGCUGAAUUAAAGGAGAAAGAAUCUUCCUUCAACCUGAAGAAAUCCUCAGCCCAUUGGAGGGACUCAGCUGUGUACUUCUGUGCUCUGAGUGACACAGUGUCUGGGACCACAGGGGGAGUUGAACACAAACCACUCAGCCUAGUGGAGUUUUCUCAGACUUAAGAUGUGUUCUUGUGUGGGGAGGUUUUGGCCAUAACAGUUGUCCCACCUAUAGAAAUUUAUUAGCUCAUGUGACUGUGGAGACAGACAAGUCCAAAAGUUAUUAUGUAGGCUGAAAUUUCAGGAAAGAGUUGAAGUUGCUGUCUUAAGUCCUAAAUCCAUAGCGCAGACAGAGAGGAUCAAAUUCAGGCUGGAUUGAUUUCUAUGUUAGACUCUUGAGGCAGAGGAUUCCUUUUGUCCUAGAAACCCCAGUUUUUUGCUUCAUCUAAUUGGAUGAAGGCUAUUUUUCCUGUGGUAUUUUUUAACAAUCUUAUGUUACAUGUUAGCAAGUGAGGCAAAGAGAUGUGUGAAAACCCAGGCA